rnacentral:rRNA from 1 species
AUACGUAGGGGGCGAGCGUUGUCCGGAAUGAUUGGGCGUAAAGGGCGCGUAGGCGGCGCGGUAAGUCUGGAGUGAAAGUCCUGCUUUCAAGGAGGGAAUUGCUUUGGAUACUGCCGUGCUUGAGUGCAGGAGAGGUUAUCGGAAUUCCAGGAGUAGCGGUGAAAUGCGUAGAGAUCGGGAGGAACACCAGUGGCGAAGGCGGGUAACUGGACUGCAACUGACGCUGAGGCGCGAAAGUGUGGGGAGCAAACAGGAUUAGAUACCCUGGUAGUCCACACUGUAAACGAUGAAUGCUAGGUGUAAGAGGUAUCGACCCCUUUUGUGCCGGAGUCAACACAAUAAGCAUUCCGCCUGGGGAGUACGGCCGCAAGGUUGAAACUCAAAUGAAUUGACGGGG